UUAGGAAUAUUCGUCAAUGGGGGAAACCCUGAACGAGCAAUGCCGCGUGAGUGAUGACAGUCUUUUAGAUUGUAAAACUCUGUUGUAAAGGAAGAACACCUAUUAUAGGUAAUGAUAGUAGGUUGACGGUACUUUACCAGAAAGCCCCGGCUAACUACGUGCCAGCAGCCGCGGUAAUACGUAGGGGGCGAGCGUUAUCCGGAUUUAUUGGGCGUAAAGGGUGCGUAGGCGGUUUAUUUAGUCUAAGAUCAAAGCCCGAAGCUUAACUUCGGUUCGUCUUAGAUACUGGUAGACUUGAGUAUAGUAGAGGCAAACGGAACUUCUAGUGUAGCGGUUAAAUGCGUAGAUAUUAGAAAGAACACCAGUGGCGAAAGCGGUUUGCUGGGCUAUUACUGACGCUGAGGCACGAAAGCGUGGGGAGCAAAUAGG
rnacentral:rRNA from 1 species